UGUCUUUGAACUCCACUCCCAGGCUCAGGUCUCCAGUUUCUUGUUUAACGUCCUAAUUAGAAGAAAGUCUUGAGAGGAGUUUUGUCCUGACUGAACAGAUUUUUGACCAGUUAUCAAGGCAUGUCUUGGCUUCAUCCUUAUACUCCUGCAACAUGGCUCCCAUGUGAGACAAGGCUGUGACCUGGAUAGAUACCAAACUGGCUCAAAAAAAUUGUGUAACUUCUAUGUGAUUCUCCACUUGAGAUUCACAACUAAUAACAAGGGUCUUCUUUCCUCUGGUAGAGCAGGUCAACAUAUCUAUCUCAGGGAAACUGGCAUGUCAAUGUCACCCAAUGGGAUUGCUAGGGGAGAAAAGCCUGCUGACGCCUUUCUAUGAGUGGGAAGCUUAAACAAUAGGUCUAAGACCCCAGCCUAAGGUGGUGGCACCCACUUUAAGGCUAUGUCUUCUCAGCUCAAUGAACAUAAUCAAGAUAGCUUGAACGCUUAGAAGAUCACCUGAGUGCCUGCACCAAAUCCUGUGUCUGUCUUAUGUUGAAUGGAGCAUCGGGGCUCCUUCCUUGGUUAAGAUGAUUGAGCAGAAAGGAUCCAUUCACAGUUUCAGCAGCAUUUCUGGAAUAGCUAUGUGAAGGAACACUGCAAAAAGCUGGAAUUCCAGGUAGUAUAGCAGCUUGGGGCAUAGACAGAAUAUGGUGAAGUGGAUUCUGUCCAAGAGGAGAGAGUGGGGCCUUCAGGAAAAACAGGUCCCUAUUCAGGGAAGUGGAAGCUUUUGAAGCGUCUCUGGAUUGCCCAUUAAGCAGCACUCUAAAAGGUUGACUGAUUUCUUGCCCCAUGGAAACUCUUCAUGAUGAAGGGUUAAUGCAGGACUUUUAAAAAAGUCCCUCCCGUUUCCAAAAUGAACAGUUUGUCUUGAA
rnacentral:lncRNA from 1 species